AUUGAACGCUGGCGGCAGGCCUAACACAUGCAAGUCGAACGAGUGGCGGACGGGUUAGUAAUGUCUGGGCAACUGCCUGAUGGAUGGGGAUAACUACUGGACACGGUAGCUAAUACCGCAUACCAUCAGAUGUGCCCAGAUGGGAUUAGCUUGUUGGUGGGGUAACGGCUAACCAGGGCGACGAUCCCUAGCUGGGCUGAGAGGAUGACCAGCCACACUGGAACUGAGACACGGUCCAGACUCCUACGGGAGGCAGCAGUGGGGAAUAUUGCACAAUGGGCGCAAGCCUGAUGCAGCCAUGCCGCGUGUAUGAAGAAGGCCUUCGGGUUGUAAAGUACUUUAAGCUGGGAGGCGUUACCAGCAGAAGAAGCACCGGCUAACUCCGUGCCAGCAGCCGCGGUAAUUC
rnacentral:rRNA from 1 species